AACGAACGCUGGCGGCAUGCCUAACACAUGCAAGUCGAACGAGACCUUCGGGUCUAGUGGCGCACGGGUGCGUAACGCGUGGGAAUCUGCCCUGGGGUGCGGAAUAACUCGGAGAAAUCCGUGCUAAUACCGCAUAAUGUCUUCGGACCAAAGAUUUAUCGCCCUGGGAUGAGCCCGCGUAGGAUUAGCUAGUUGGUGGGGUAAAGGCCUACCAAGGCGACGAUCCUUAGCUGGUCUGAGAGGAUGAUCAGCCACACUGGGACUGAGACACGGCCCAGACUCCUACGGGAGGCAGCAGUGGGGAAUAUUGGACAAUGGGCGAAAGCCUGAUCCAGCAAUGCCGCGUGAGUGAUGAAGGCCCUAGGGUUGUAAAGCUCUUUUACCCGGGAUGAUAAUGACAGUACCGGGAGAAUAAGCUCCGGCUAACUCCGUG
rnacentral:rRNA from 2 species